GACGAACGCUGGCGGCGUGCUUAACACAUGCAAGUCGAACGGUAAGGCCCUUCGGGGUACACGAGUGGCGAACGGGUGAGUAACACGUGGGUGAUCUGCCCUGCACUUCGGGAUAAGCCUGGGAAACUGGGUCUAAUACCGGAUAGGACCACUGCCUGCAUGGGUGGUGGUGGAAAGCUUUUGCGGUGUGGGAUGGGCCCGCGGCCUAUCAGCCUGUUGGUGGGGUGAUGGCCUACCAAGGCGACGACGGGUAGCCGGCCUGAGAUGGUGACCGGCCACACUGGGACGUAGAUACGGCCCAGACUCCUACGGGAGGCAGCAGUGGCGAAUAUUGCUCAAUGGGCGCAAGCCUGAUGCAGCGACGCCGCGUGAGGGAUGACGGACUUCGGGUUGUAAACCUCUUUCAGCACCGACGAAGCGCAAGUGACGGUAGGUGCAGAAGAAGGACCGGCCAACUACGUGCCAGCAGCCGCGGUAA
rnacentral:rRNA from 1 species